UACGUAGGAGACGAGCGUUGUCCGGAGUUACUGGGCGUAAAGGGUGCGCAGGUGGCGGCGCGCGUGGGGGGUGAAAUCGCCCGGCUUAACUGGGCGGGGGCCUUCCAGACGGCGUGGCUUGAGCAGCGGAGGGGGACGUGGAAUUCCGGGUGGAGCGGUGAAAUGCGUAGAGAUCCGGAGGAACACCAACGGCGUAGGCAGCGCCCUAGACGAGACCUGACGCUCAGGCACGAAAGCGCGGGGAGCGAACAGG
rnacentral:rRNA from 1 species